UGAGGGAAUAUUGGUCAAUGGGCGCGAGCCUGAACCAGCCAAGUCGCGUGAGGGAGGACGGCCCUACGGGUUGUAAACCUCUUUUGCCGGGGAGCAACGGGCGUCACGUGUGGCGCCACUGAGAGUACCCGGAGAAAAGCAUCGGCUAACUCCGUGCC
rnacentral:rRNA from 1 species